rnacentral:tRNA from 1 species
GAUGAUAUAGCUGAAGUGGUAGAGCUUAUGCUUAGCGUGCAUGAGGUCCUGGGUUCAAUCCCCAGUACUUUCU